rnacentral:sRNA from 1 species
AAAUAAAUAAUAAAUAGCAUGGAGAUGUAAUUUUGCUAUGACCAUCAUGUCGCUAUCGCCAUCUUCAUUCUUCGUCUGAUUCAGAUCUCGAACUUUCGGACAAUGCAAAACCUAAUUUAUCCCCAUCAAUACUCCUCACCUUGAAUGUCUUCUUCUCUUCAUAAGUCUUGCUUACCUGCUCCUCCACUUUCUGGAACUCUUCCUCCACGUUAAAUCCGUCCUUCAUGUUGGAAUCUGAUGCAUCCAUGAUCUUGGAAGAGUUUUGCUGCUAAAAAAUUAGAGAGAUCAGUUGCUAAGAAUCGACAAGAGAAAAGACAAAAGAGAAGACAAGAGAGAAGACAAGAGAGAACUCGUGUAUGUAUAGUAUAUAUUUUAAUAACAACAACAAAACAAUAUAUUUUAAUUCAGUAUAACAUAUUUGUUUGUCUUUGUUCACAAUACAUAAGUAU